GCUGGGCAUGGUGGCGCGUGCCUGUGGUCCCAGGUUCUCCGGAGGCUGAGGUGGGAGGAUCCCUUGAGCCCAGGAGGCAGAGUCUGCAGUGAGCUGAGAUCGUGCCACUGCACUCCAGCCUGGGUGACAGAGUGAGACCCCGUCUCUA
rfam:Pan troglodytes isolate Yerkes chimp pedigree #C0471 (Clint) chromosome 2B, whole genome shotgun sequence.